GACGAACGCUGGCGGCGUGCUUAACACAUGCAAGUCGAACGGAAAGGCCCUGCUUUUGUGGGGUGCUCGAGUGGCGAACGGGUGAGUAACACGUGAGUAACCUGCCCUUGACUUUGGGAUAACUUCAGGAAACUGGGGCUAAUACCGGAUAGGAGCUCCUGCUGCAUGGUGGGGGUUGGAAAGUUUCGGCGGUUGGGGAUGGACUGGCGGCUUAUCAGCUUGUUGGUGGGGUAGUGGCUUACCAAGGCUUUGACGGGUAGCCGGCCUGAGAGGGUGACCGGCCACAUUGGGACUGAGAUACGGCCCAGAGUCCUACGGGAGACAGCAGGGGGGAAUAUUGCACAAUGGGCGGAAGCCUGAGGAAGCAACGCCGCGUGUGGGAUGACGGCCUUCGGGUUGUAAACCGCUUUAGCCUGUGACGAAGCGUGAGUGACGGUAAUGGGUGAAGAAGCACCGGCUAACUACGUG
rnacentral:rRNA from 1 species